rnacentral:rRNA from 1 species
GAUGAACGCGGCGGCGUGCCUAAUACAUGCAAGUAGAACGCUGAAGCUUGGUGCUUGCACCGAGCGGUGAGUUGCGAACGGGUGAGUAACGCGUAGGUAACCUGCCUGGUAGCGGGGGAUAACUAUUGGAAACGAUAGCUAAUACCGCAUAACAGUCGACAUUGCAUGAUGUUGAUUUGAAAGGGGCAAUUGCUCCACUACCAGAUGGACCUGCGUUGUAUUAGCUAGUUGGUGAGGUAACGGCUCACCAAGGCGACGAUACAUAGCCGACCUGAGAGGGUGAUCGGCCACACUGGGACUGAGACACGGCCCAGACCCCUACGGGAGGCAGCAGUAGGGAAUCUUCGGCAAUGGACGGAAGUCUGACCGAGCAACGCCGCGUGAGUGAAGAAGGUUUUCGGAUCGUAAAGCUCUGUUGUAAGAGAAGAACGAGUGUGAGAGUGGAAAGUUCACACUGUGACGGUAACUACCAGAAAGG